CUCCGCCCCGAGCGGCUCCCGCACAUCGUACGGGGCGGGUCUGUCGCUUUCGGCGCCGGGAAGGCGUUCCCGAGGACCGCGGCGACGGUAGGGAGCCGUUGGAAGGGGCGUUUGUGAGCUGGUCUGUUUGCUGCGUGUUCUCACAGCGCUGCGGUGGGCGGCGUGCGGCCGUCAGGCAGAAGACAAGCCAAGAAAAAUGAAGAGAAAGUGACAUUAGGACAGUCCUUGCAGGUUCCUGCUGCACGUACCAGACAUUACCACAUCCAUCACCCAGCCCUGCUAGGAGGAGGGCUUGUGCUGUCGUGGAGCUUGUGGAAGAAAUGGCAUUUCCCCUUUGCUUCUUUCAAAGCACAGGUUUUCUUGCAUCCUCAUGAUGAAGUUGGCACAGUGCCAUGUGCUGUUAUCCUGGUCCUCGUGGGGACUUGCUGCUCCUGGUGCAGAGUGACUUCCUUUUAGCCCACCAGCAUCCCAGAUAAUGUCCAAUAUAAUCUGUUGCCUGU
rnacentral:lncRNA from 1 species